UACGUAGGCAGCGAGCGUUGUUCGGAGUUACUGGGCGUAAAGCGUGCGUAGCGGUGCCAUAAGUCUGUUGUGAAAUCUCCCGGCUUAACUGGGAGGGUGCGGUGGAAACUGUGGUGCUGGAGUGUGGGAGAGGUAGGCGGAAUUCCUGGUGUAGCGGUGAAAUGCGUAGAUAUCAGGAGGAACACCUGUGGUGUAGACGGCUUACUGGACCAUGACUGACGCUGAGGCACGAAAGCGUGGGGAGCAAACAGG
rnacentral:rRNA from 1 species